UGAUUUUGGAGGAGAUGUCUGAUGUAAGACAGAAUGGUGUUUUGUUCUGAGAUGUUGGAGGAGAUGUCUGAUGUAAGACAAAAUGGUGUUCUGUUCUGAGAUGUUGGAGGAGAUGUCUGAUGGUAUGUGCAAGCUCUGUGUUGUACAGGUGAUGUUGAAGGAGAUGUCAGAAGGAGGUUCUGAAUGUUAACAUGUUGAAGGAGAUGUCAAAAGGAAAUUCUGAAUGUUAACAUGUUAAAGGAGAUGUCAGAAGGAAAUUCUGAAUGUUGA
rnacentral:lncRNA from 1 species